UAAUCUUUUUGUUCCUCUCUUUUAUUUUUGUGUGGAUUAGGGGUGUGCAUGGAUGGCUUGGUUCGAAUUUUUUAAACAUCAAACCAAAUUAAUUGCUUUGGGUUUUUAAAUUUAUAUACCAAAUCAAUAAAAUUCAAAUUUUUCAAUCUCGAAUUUUCUUGGGUUAUUCAUUUUUUUCAGAUUUUUUUUCGGAAUAGUCUUGAUACGAAAUAUAUAACUUUUACUUCAAAUAUUUCUUUAGUCUUAGUAAGGUACAACUAUAUAAUUAAUGUGUUUCUUAAGAAAAUAAUAUAAAAUAUGAGAAAAGUGAUGGCGUUGUAUUAAAAUAUUUAACAAAAGUUAAUAAAAUCGAUUAAAAUAAAUAUUGCUAAUUAACAAGUCAUAAAGAAAAUGAUCAUAAUUUAAAAAUAUUAAGUCAUGCUAAAAUAAAUACGACAAAUAAGUAUUAAUUACAUGACAGAGAAAAAAAAUUUAAGUUAUGUAUUUUCACUCUCUAAAUUAAUUAUGCAAAAUUAAAAAAUAGAUAUUCAAUAUUAUUGUCAUUCCUAAUGUUAAAUUGAAUUUCUUUUGUUAGUAUUAGUAUUGAGUUGGUUUUAGUUUGGACUUUAUUUGAGUUACUGACAUUCAUAGGAUAUAAAACUUAUUAACGUUCAAAAUUCUAAGUUCAAGCUUGAAUAAUAUGAUAAUAGAUAAAAAAUUACGAAAAAAUUACGAAAUAUUUAUAAAUUACAUUACAAAUAAAUAUUUUUAUGUAUAAAAUAUUUUAAAAAUUGAAUACAUAUAAUGUCGGGUUUGUUUGGUUCGGUUUAACCCUUUUAAGUUAAAACCAAACCAAAUCAAUCAUAGUCGAAUUUUUUUUUCAAACACCAAAUCACUAGUCGGUUUUUUUUCUCGGUUUGACUCGGUUUGGUGCGGUUUGUCGGUUUACUUUGUACACCCCCUAGUGUGAAUAUGUUCAUUGUUCAGCAAUAUUAGUGUUCUUUCUUAUAAAAAUUCAGAGGAUGAGGUUUUCAAGUUACUUUUCCUUCAUAAAGAUAUGAGUAGUCAUUAUUCAAACUUAUUACUGUUUGUGCCUGUAAAUGAUGGAGUAAGUAAAUAAAAUUUUGACUUUUUCAGUACUAUCUCUAUAGAUGUCUUUAAGAUUAUCAUCUUUGGUCUAAACCACUAUGUUCUCUGUAUUUGGCUAUUCAAGUCAUUCCUUGAUUGCUAAAACUUUGUCUAAACCACUAUGUGUAUUCUCCCAGUGUUUUUAUUUAGCUUGGAGAGGUUUGAUAAUAAGCACAAGUUUGAAGUUUCUGUUGGAUAUCUCAUGAAGACCACAAAGCAUCCAUAGAUAAACUUUUUACUUCCCGUUAUUCCUAAUCCUAACAACCGUCGUCCCGUAUUUACACCAAACUACAUAGUUAAUUAAUUAUGGUUAAGUAAUAUAUUGAGGUAAAAAUACAUUAAUAAACCAUGACUGAAUGAUAGAGCUGUAGGUAAAUUAAAGACUAAAUAUGUUAUGAUUUAUUUUUAUUAGUAUUAUUCCUAUCUUGCUGGACUCGACUAAUUUUGAUGCCUUGAUAUUGCCAACAACUUUUGAAUUAUUGGAGACCUGGUAUACUUUUUUUUUUAAGAUCAUUAAUAUCAUCAAUAGGUCCAACAUGUCUCCUUUACUUUUGACAAAAAUAAAUAAAUACAUACAUCUAGAUGAUUAGAUGCCCGACUUAAUUAGUGGAUGUCCACUCUGGUUUACCUUUAAUAAUCAACAGAAUUAGUGGCUGGUCACUCUGGUUUACCUUCAUCAAGAGAAUUAGUGUAUGUCCACUCUGGGAAUCAUUGGUAGAUAACGAUUGUAGUGAAGUUGGGUAGUGGAUACCUACUGUAGAGUCACUCGGUACCGGCACUCUAGGAAGUACCAGGUGAAAUAGUCGAGGUCCAUGUAAACAGACUCGGACAAUUCCUCCAUUUAAAAAAAAAAAAAUGUUGCGUAAUAGUAUGACAA